rnacentral:rRNA from 1 species
AUUGAACGCUGGCGGCAUGCCUUACACAUGCAAGUCGAACGGCAGCACGGGUGCUUGCACCUGGUGGCGAGUGGCGAACGGGUGAGUAAUACAUCGGAACGUACCUUAUCGUGGGGGAUAACGCAGCGAAAGCUGUGCUAAUACCGCAUACGCCCUGAGGGGGAAAGCGGGGGAUCGCAAGACCUCGCGCGAUUAGAGCGGCCGAUGCCUGAUUAGCUUGUUGGUGGGGUAAAAGCCCACCAAGGCAACGAUCAGUAGCUGGUCUGAGAGGACGAUCAGCCACACUGGGACUGAGACGCGGCCCAGACUCCUACGGGAGGCAGCAGUGGGGAAUUUUGGACAAUGGGGGCAACCCUGAUCCAGCAAUGCCGCGUGAGUGAAGAAGGCCUUCGGGUUGUAAAGCUCUUUUGUCAGGGAAGAAACACCGGCUCUAACACAGUCCGGGAAUGACGGUACCUGAAGAAUAAGCACCGGCUACCUACGUGCCAGCAGCCGCAGUAA